rnacentral:rRNA from 1 species
AACGAACGCUGGCGGCAGGCCUAACACAUGCAAGUCGAACGCCGUAGCAAUACGGAGUGGCAGACGGGUGAGUAACGCGUGGGAACAUACCCUCCGGUUCGGAAUAACUCAGGGAAACUUGAGCUAAUACCGGAUACGUCCAAGGUUUUAAUCGGCCUUGGAGAAAGAUUUAUCGCCGGAGGAUUGGCCCGCGUCUGAUUAGCUUGUUGGUGAGGUAAUGGCUCACCAAGGCGACGAUCAGUAGCUGGUCUGAGAGGAUGAUCAGCCACAUUGGGACUGAGACACGGCCCAAACUCCUACGGGAGGCAGCAGUGGGGAAUAUUGGACAAUGGGCGCAAGCCUGAUCCAGCCAUGCCGCGUGAGUGAUGAAGGCCUUAGGGUUGUAAAGCUCUUUUACCCGGGAAGAUAAUGACGGUACCGGGAGAAUAAGCCCCGGCUAACUUCGUGCCAGCAGCCGCAGUAAC